rnacentral:lncRNA from 1 species
AAACUAAGAAGGAAUCAGAUGGAAGCACAAUUUUCACAACUACCUGGAUCUUCCAACUCUGAAGUCAGUUUCUCCUCCUGAGUCUUCUAAAGCUACCAUUAAUAUUCUCUUGCAAGUUUUAGGUUACCAAGGUAUCACCUGAUAUUACAACAUGCAACAGUGUUUAAAUGUGGUUUUCACAGAUUCUUGUUAAUAAAGCACUCUUUGGUGGAAGACAAGCAGCUUGGGUACUUAUCAGAGUUAAUAUUACUACAGUAUUACAAACAGUCAAGUGAAGAUGAUAAAGCCAAAUAGUAUCAAAUUACAGAAAGUACCAUUUCAGUAAUGCCUUUUGUAUCUUUACAAAUUUUGACACAGGGUCGCAAGCUGAACAGAAAAUAAAUACAUAAAAAACCUCCAUCAGAUCCUCAAUUCUUCUGAAGGCCAGCAACUACAAUGCUUGCCAUCACAAGGACACACAUGCACCACAGACCAGCCAGCUCCCUGGGUACCAGAGGGCUUGGGUAUUUACACCUGAGACUAAAUUUACAACAGCAUUUUUGUCAUUCAGCUUGAGAGCUGGGCCUUUCUUUGAGUCAUUCUUUUUGGGAGCAAGCCCCCAAAAUCCAGCCAUAAACUGGCCCCAAAACUGGCCAUAAACAAAA